rnacentral:lncRNA from 1 species
GGGAAUUCUAAAGGGAGGCUGACACCCAAGAGACAGUGAGGAUAAAAUGGACUUUGUGGGAAGUUGAAGCUGAGUUCCAGCUCUUAAAACAAUUAUGGCUAGAUUUAUUGGUGGGCGUGAUAGUUCUUGGUUGUACAACUCCAGUGAGAAAGAAGAUAAAUGAGGCUACAGCACCUGCAAGACACAGAGGCAAGAUUAGCCAAGAAUUAAGAGCCUCUUCUGAGAGUCACAGACACCUCUGAAAAGCCUGGCAAGAGCUAAGUAUGUGAG